AGCAUCUGUUUUUAUUGUAGUAUAUCAAAGUUAGGGAAAUGGGACUGGCAAGUAAAAAGUGGAAUUUAAUUUCAAUGUUAUAUGGGAACUCUGAUUUAAUUGGAAGCAAACUAGUUCAAAUUAGCAGGAAUUAUUUUAUUUUAUUUUUUCGAGAUGGAGUUUCGCUCUUAUGGAGUUUCGCUCUUGUUGGCCAGGCUGGAGUGCAAUGGCAUGAUCUCGGCUCACUGCAACCUCCACCUCCUGGGUUCAAGUGAUUCUCCUGCCUCAGCCUCCCGGGUAGCUGGGACUACAGGCGCCCGCCACGUUGCCUGGCUAAUUUUUUUGUAUUUUGUUAGAGACAGGGUUUCUCCAUGUUGGUCAGGCUGGUCUCGAACUCCCGACCUCAGGUGAUCCGCCUGCCUCGGCCUCCCAAAGUGAUGAUUUUAUUUUUAUUUUAAUUUUAUUAAUCUGCAUAUAGAUAAUGACUUUGUGAAGAGUGUGUGUUGUGUGCAAAACUUAAGAUAUUGGUUGAGAGUUAAAUACAUUAUUUUUAUAAUAUGUUGGGUAUAGUCUAGUUACUAAUGAUUUUUAAGUACUUUUAUAAAAAGUUCAUUUUUAAAAUUGUUUGUUUUUAAAAGCCAAUAUACACUGCAAAAUUAGGAACAGUAUUUUUAUUUAUUUAUACAAGACAUUGUGCCAGAGCAUACUAGUAAAACACCUUCAUGAAUGGGUAAUGUAAUCUCCCAGAAUUACAUUAAAAUUAUUUCUGAAAAGUAGCAAAGUCAUUACAUUUUACUUUUAAUGACCCAUACCUCACCAGCUCCUCGUCUUUUCUUCACUGUUGCCCUUAUUUUGAGGUAAUUUUUCCUUAAAAUAUAACUUACACACCACAUUUAGUAGAGGCAGUGACAGUGAUCUCAGUACCUAUCAGCUGUCCCCCUCCUCUGCCCCUCUUCAUCUCUUCUACCUUGUGACCAUUUCCCUUGCCCAUUCAUGUUCUCCUUUAUCUCUGCUUUUCUUUCUUAGCCAGGAUGCUUCCCCCACAACUCUCACUCCCAAAUUCUUUUAGAUAUACAUUUUUCUGGAUAUUGGCUGCUGAAAUCUGAAGCUCUGGUAAAGUUCCUAGUACGGGAGAUCAGUCCUGGAGGAGGCCUAGUUAACUAUUACAUUACAAAGACUCCUCAGAAAGUAAAGGAAAAUCACCUUCAAAACCACAAACCUUUACGUUGUCAAGUCUAACAUGAGUGUUUUUACAAAGUAUUUCUUUCUACCCAUUGUUCAAGAAUGUAAAUGUAGAAAAAAACACAAGACAGUUGGGUAGAUACACAUGCUUGAGGAAACUUGCUUUUACUGUUUUCCUACUUGUAUCCCCAGUUCAGUUGAAUUUACAAGGACCUACAAGAUGGUCAUGUUUGUCUUGGUAUGUGUCACCCCAAUUUUAGUGUUUCUUUUUUGAUUUUAAAUCAGUAAUUAUUCAGUGGAUUGUUUAUACUGUAUAAUGAAGUAACAAAACCAUUUCGGUUUGUAUGUUUUAAUUAACAGUUGUGCAAAUUCUUCCUGUUUGUUAGGUGCUCCCUUUGAAUAUUUUGUGAACUGUGUCAGAGGGAGAGGGGUGGUGGCUAGGAAGAGGGUCAGAAAGAAGCUAGAGGGAGGUCAGGAAACAGGGAGGAUGCAAAGCAGACAUCUACCCUGGUCACCCCAGGGUCAGGGUAUCUGUCCUUGUCUCAUGUUGAAUUCACAAAUUGGAUAUCACUUAGGCUUUGAAGGUGACAGCCAUCUCUGAUAGCUGAGCAUGAGUAAAGAAAGGUAGAGUGCCAAUGCAGAAAGGAAAAUAUUCAGCUUUCCUCUCUUAGAUCACACUUUGAAGAUGGCCUUCUGGAGACAAUCUGACGGGUUAAAACAGGAGCUGUUGGAAUUAUUCUAGCUGUAACUACAUAUCAGCUAUGUGUUGAUUGAUCCUAGAAAGAAAAUUUUUCAUUUUAGAUCUUGAUUGAAUUUAAGAUGUAUUUAUAUGCCUACAAAAAGUCUGUCUUGUUACUGUUGUAUAAAAUAAACCUAAUCUAUGGUUUCAUUUUUAAUCUAAAAAAAGUUGUGCCUUAACAAUAGGGCAUUGUAUGUUAAUAAGGGAAAACAAUCUUUUUAGUAGAUGGGGAAAAUAGGAACUUUUUGCCAUUAAAACUUAAGUUCUUGUGAUGUUUUUAAUAUUAUAGUUGGGGGAAGUUCAUUAAAAUUAAAUUGAAAUAAAAUUAUUUUUGCAUAACCUAGCAUUUACAACUAAAGUAUGUUUUUUAUAAGAACUGGCAUCUUGAUGUAUAUAGGUCUGAAAUAAUAUUUCACCUUUUGAUUUUUAAUUUUAAUAAUAUUAGACCAGGAUAGAUCACAUUUUUGCAAAUCUUAGUUUUAAAUAAAUUAUUUCGGUGUGCUGUUAGUCCUCUACAGUCAUUUUGGUUUAAAAAGUGACUUUAUUUAUGGUAGCAUAUCAAUAAUUUAUUAAUGUUAAAAAAUACUUGUGUAUGACAUUACAAACUGGUACAGUUCCUAAGGGGAGAGGAUUCUAAUUGAUAGGCAGUUCUGAGAGGGCAGGAAGAAUGGAACUUUAUACUUCAAAAGGAGGUUUUGGUUUUAUGAGGUACUGCUUAUGUAAAUUGUUUAUUUUUAUUUCAUCAAAGCCUGGCAGGUAUAUGCAUUCCAAUUUACCAUUGGCAAAGCUUUAUUUUUAUUUUUAAGGUUGGAUGUUGAAUUAAUUUUGUGGGAAAAUGAGAUUUGUAAGUAGUUUACCUUCUAGAUAAGAUAACAGAAGCUAAACUUUCAGAAGUUAAGGAUGAUAAUAUUAAAAUGACUUGUUAUAUGUUAUGUUUGUAAGGGUUCCCUUAAGUAUCAUAACUAACAAUUUGUGGAAAUUGAAAAAGCAUAAACUGUGUUAUUUGAUCAGUAAUAUGUUCCCUUAAAAUUCAUUUUGAGGUGUAUGUUAUACACAUAGUAAAUUUUUGUUCAGGAAUGACUUGCUCAUUCUGUAUUUUUAAAAAUAGGAAAUAAGGCAUAGUGAGUCAUCAUUCAUCAAUUAACCAAAAAGUGUUUCAUCCCCUCCAUCACUGAAAUUAUCUCCUGUAGCCACCUUUCUUAUUCUUGCAUUAUGAGGGCACAUUUAUGGACUUAUAUUUCCAUGUGCCGUAUUGUCCAUUACCGGCAGUAGCCAAAGCUAGCUGUUUUGGUCCCACAGAAGAGACAGUGCUCUGCCAUGAGGACAGGGCACUGCUAGGACUGGUUUUUCUUGUUUUUCCCUUUUGGCGAUGUGGACUUCAAGAACUAGAUGUAUAUGCACAAGUUUUGAGUUUACACUAAAACUAGGAAGUGAAGUUUUCAAUCUGUGUUCCUGCCUCUUCAUACUUUUAUUUAUUUUUUGUCAUCCUGCCUUAUACUGGGCUAACAAUGAGAUAAAUUAAAAUGCCUUUGAAUACUCUUCCCUUUCAUGUAUUUAAAGCCAUGGAGGAACUAGACCAUUAGCUGUUGCCGUCACAUGCUUAGACACCAGUUUACUUAGCGUGUUAUGGCCUUCCUCAACCACACUACCAAAUUUAAGUGGGUCCUGACUUCACCCUCUGGGAGGAAGUAAACACUUCUCUCCCCAUGGUUUUAGAGCAGUUUUUACCUGCAAGCACCAUCUCUAUAUGUGUUCUUACUCGAUUGUACAGUUCUUGAGAGGGAUUGCAUCUUGGUGAUUUUUGUAUUUCCACCUCAACCCCAGCACCUAGCCCAGUCUCUUGCACAAAUUAAGUACUUAAUGUGUGUUGAAUUAAAUUGAAUAAAGGAUUAUUAGCAUUAGCA